AUUGGUACAGCGGUGAAGACGUUCGACUUGUGAUCUUAAGGUCGCAGGUUCGAAACCUCCAA
rnacentral:tRNA from 12 species